rnacentral:rRNA from 1 species
GAUGAACGCUGGCGGCGUGCUUAACACAUGCAAGUCGAACGAUGAAGCGCAGCGUUUUGGGUGGAGUAGUGGCGAACGGGUGAGUAACACGCGAGUAACCUGCCCUUAACUCUGAGAUAAGCCUGGUAAAGAGGGUGUAGUACAUGACAGGAGCGCCUAUCAAACGGUGGGUGUUGUAAUGAUUUAUCGGUUUUGGCUGGACUCGCGGCCUAUCAGCUCGUUGGUGAGGUAAUGGUUCACCAAGGCGACGACGGGUAGCCGGCCUGAGAGCGUGACCGGCCACACUGCGACUGAGACACGGACCAGACUCCUACGGGAGGCAGCAGUGGGGAAUAUUGCACAACGGGCGCAAGCCUGAUGCAGCGACGCCGCGUGAGGGAUGACGGCCUUCGGGUUGUAAACCUCUUUCGGUAGGGAAGAAGCGAAAGUGACGGUACCUGCAGAAGAAGCACCGGCUAACUACGUG